rnacentral:rRNA from 1 species
GUUGUGAGGUUAAGCGACUAAGCGUACACGGUGGAUGCCCUGGCAGUCAGAGGCGAUGAAGGGCGUGCUAAUCUGCGAUAAGCGCCGGUAAGGUGAUAUGAACCGUUAUAACCGGCGAUACCCGAAUGGGGAAACCCAGUGUGACUCGUCACACUAUCAUUAACUGAAUCCAUAGGUUAAUGAGGCGAACCGGGGGAACUGAAACAUCUAAGUACCCCGAGGAAAAGAAAUCAACCGAGAUUCCCCCAGUAGCGGCGAGCGAACGGGGAGGAGCCCAGAGCCUGAAUCAGCAUAUGUGUUAGUGGAAGCGUCUGGAAAGGCGCGCGAUACAGGGUGACAGCCCCGUACACAAAAGCGCAUGUGCUGUGAGCUCGAUGAGUAGGGCGGGACACGUGGUAUCCUGUCUGAAUAUGGGGGGACCAUCCUCCAAGGCUAAAUACUCCUGACUGACCGAUAGUGAACCAGUACCGUGAGGGAAAGGCGAAAAGAACCCCGGCGAGGGGAGUGAAACAGAACCUGAAACCGUGUACGUACAAGCAGUGGGAGCCCCACCACUAAGCCAGUGGUGAACUCCACAUACGCAUCCUUUGCUGAGGAUACGGUUAGCGGAGCGAAAGCGACGUUCAACCUCAAAAGAAGCAGAGGGGGCUUAGUGGUGGGGUGACUGCGUACCUUUUGUAUAAUGGGUCAGCGACUUAUAUUCUGUAGCAAGGUUAACCGUAUAGGGGAGCCGAAGGGAAACCGAGUCUUAACCGGGCGUUAAGUUGCAGGGUAUAGACCCGAAACCCGGUGAUCUAGCCAUGGGCAGGUUGAAGGUUGGGUAACACUAACUGGAGGACCGAACCGACUAAUGUUGAAAAAUUAGCGGAUGACCUGUGGCUGGGGGUGAAAGGCCAAUCAAACCGGGAGAUAGCUGGUUCUCCCCGAAAGCU